AUUGAACGCUGGCGGCAGGCCUAACACAUGCAAGUCGAGCGGUAACAGAAAGUAGCUUGCUACUUUGCUGACGAGCGGCGGACGGGUGAGUAAUGCUUGGGAACAUGCCUUGAGGUGGGGGACAACAGUUGGAAACGACUGCUAAUACCGCAUAAUGUCUACGGACCAAAGGGGGCUUCGGCUCUCGCCUUUAGAUUGGCCCAAGUGGGAUUAGCUAGUUGGUGAGGUAAUGGCUCACCAAGGCAACGAUCCCUAGCUGGUUUGAGAGGAUGAUCAGCCACACUGGAACUGAGACACGGUCCAGACUCCUACGGGAGGCAGCAGUGGGGAAUAUUGCACAAUGGGCGAAAGCCUGAUGCAGCCAUGCCGCGUGUGUGAAGAAGGCCUUCGGGUUGUAAAGCACUUUCAGUCAGGAGGAAAGGGUGUGAGUUAAUACCUCACAUCUGUGACGUUACUGACAGAAGAAGCACCGGCUAAUCC
rnacentral:rRNA from 1 species